AUAGCGGAUGUUUCGCAGAUGGCUGAGGCAGUAAAUUUUCCGGUAAGUUAAAAAUUGAGGUCUGCGUAUUUGAUUCAUUUGUGGAAUGUGUCUGGAAUGAAUCGGAUCGAAAUUGCUGAGCGCUAUAACUCUAAAGCUGUAAUGGCAACGCAAGCACAACUGAAGAAAGCAUCGAUUUGUGUAUACCAAAUGUUUGGAAGGAGAUAAUAUUUUUAAAUUAGGUUCCACAAAUUAGCAUUUCUCAUUUUUAGUUAUCCGUUUGGAGAAACGUUGUUUCCACAAAUUACAUUUU